UGAGGAAUAUUGGUCAAUGGGCGAGAGCCUGAACCAGCCAAGUCGCGUGAAGGAUGACGGCCCUACGGGUUGUAAACUUCUUUUGUCAGGGAACAAAGGCGGGGACGUGUCCCCGGAUGAGUGUACCUGAAGAAAAAGCAUCGGCUAACUCCGUGCCUGCAGCCGCGGUAAUACGGAGGAUGCGAGCGUUAUCCGGAUUUAUUGGGUUUAAAGGGUGCGUAGGCGGACGCUUAAGUCAGCGGUAAAAUUGCGGGGCUCAACCUCGUCGAGCCGUUGAAACUGGGUGCCUUGGGUGGGCGAGAAGUACGCGGAAUGCGUGGUGUAGCGGUGAAAUGCAUAGAUAUCACGCAGAACUCCGAUUGCGAAGGCAGCGUACCGGCGCCCAACUGACGCUGAAGCACGAAGGCGUGGGUAUCGAACAGG
rnacentral:rRNA from 1 species